rnacentral:tRNA from 1 species
AGGGCAGUAGCUUAUUUGCAGAGUUCCCGCUUCGUAUGCGGGAAGACCUGGGUUCGAUUCCCGGUUGCCUA